AGGACGAACGCUGGUGGCGUGCUUAACACAUGCAAGUCGAACGGUAAGGCCCCUUCGGGGGUACACGAGUGGCGAACGGGUGAGUAACACGUGGGUAAUCUGCCCUGCACUUCGGGAUAAGCCUGGGAAACUGGGUCUAAUACCGGAUAUGAACUCCUGCCGCAUGGUGGGGGUUGGAAAGUUUUUCGGUGCAGGAUGAGCCCGCGGCCUAUCAGUCGUUGUUGGUGGGGUAAUCGGCCUAACCAAGGUCGACGACGGGUAGCCGGCCUGAGAGGGUGAUCGGCCACACGUGGACUGAGACCACGGCCCAGACUCUACGGGAGCAGCAGUAGGGAAUAGUUGCACGAAGU
rnacentral:rRNA from 1 species